UUUUAUGGAGAGUUUGAUCCUGGCUCAGGAUGAACGCUGGCGGCGUGCCUAAUACAUGCAAGUCGAGCGAACGGACGAGAAGCUUGCUUCUCUGAUGUUAGCGGCGGACGGGUGAGUAACACGUGGAUAACCUACCUAUAAGACUGGGAUAACUUCGGGAAACCGGAGCUAAUACCGGAUAAUAUUUUGAACCGCAUGGUUCAAAAGUAAAAGACGGUCUUGCUGUCACUUAUAGAUGGAUCCGCGCUGCAUUAGCUAGUUGGUAAGGUAACGGCUUACCAAGGCAACGAUGCAUAGCCGACCUGAGAGGGUGAUCGGCCACACUGGAACUGAGACACGGUCCAGACUCCUACGGGAGGCAGCAGUAGGGAAUCUUCCGCAAUGGGCGAAAGCCUGACGGAGCAACGCCGCGUGAGUGAUGAAGGUCUUCGGAUCGUAAAACUCUGUUAUUAGGGAAGAACAUAUGUGUAAGUAACUGUGCACAUCUUGACGGUACCUAAUCAGAAAGCCACGGCUAACUACGUGCCAGCAGCCGCGGUAAUACGUAGGUGGCAAGCGUUAUACGGAAUUAUUGUUCGUACUGCUAUCUUCUUCUUUUUUUUCCUUCUUCUUUUCCCUCCCCCUUCUCCCCCGUUGCUUUUCCUUGUGCCCUGUCCCCCUUGAGUGCAGCAGAGGAAAGUGGAAUUCCAUGUGUAGCGGUGAAAUGCGCA
rnacentral:rRNA from 1 species